AGCAGCCGCGGUAAUUCCAGCUCCAAUAGCGUAUAUUAAAGUUGUUGCAGUUAAAAAGCUCGUAGUUGAAUUUCGGGGUUAGUAGGUUGGUCAUGCCUCUGGUAUGUACUGGUCUCACUGAUUCCUCCUUCCUGAUGAGCCGUAAUGCCAUUAAUUUGGUGUUGCGGGGAAUUUGGACUGUUACUUUGAAAAAAUUAGAGUGUUUAAAGCAAGCUAACGCUUGAAUACAUUAGCAUGGAAUAAUGAAAUAGGACGUUCGAUCCUAUUUUGUUGGUUUCUAGGAUUGACGUAAUGAUUAAUAGGGAUAGUUGGGGGCAUUAGUAUUCAAUUGUCAGAGGUGAAAUUCUUGGAUUUAUUGAAGACUAACUACUGCGAAAGCAUUUGCCAAGGAUGUUUUCAUUAAUCAAGAACGAAAGUUAGGGGAUCGAAGACGAUCAGAUACCGUCGUAGUCUUAACCAUAAACUAUGCCGACUAGGGAUCGGAUGAUGUUAAUUUUUUCAAUGACUCAUUCGGCGCCUU
rnacentral:sRNA from 1 species